AUUGAACGCUGGCGGCAGGCUUAACACAUGCAAGUCGAGCGAGCGGCGGACGGGUGAGUAAUGUCUGGGAACCUGCCUGAUGGAGGGGGAUAACUACUGGAAACGGUAGCUAAUAACGCAUAGCAUCAGAUGUGCCCAGCUGGGCGUAGUUAGUAGGUGGGGUAAUGGAGCACCUAGGCGACGAUCCCUAGCUGGUAUGAGAGGAUGACCAGCCACACUGGAGCGGAGACACGUUCCAGACUCCUACGGUAGGCAGCAGGGGGGAAUAUGGCACAAUGGUCGCAAGCCGCAUGCAGCCAUGCCGCGUGUGUGAAGAAGGCCUGCGGGUUGUAAAGCACUUUCAGCGAGGAGGCGGUACUCGCAGAAGAAGCACCGGCUAACUCCGUGCCAGCAGCCGCGGUAAUUC
rnacentral:rRNA from 1 species